GAAACUGUCGGCGGCUCGCUUGAAGGUUGCCGCACUGGCCAAUCAGCGCGCAGGAGGAGGUCCCGCGGUUUAAAAACAGACCUGAUUUUGAAGGACGCGGUGGCGCCGUGAGUAGAGCGCAAUUUACAGAGUGAUAAUUGCAGUCGGAAUAGUGUGCUAAUGAGCUGAACACAUUGAGGUGCAAACAGUGGACGGACAGACAGACACUGGAGGACAGAGACAUGGCCGGGUUUCUGGAUAACUUCCGCUGGCCGGAGUGUGAGUGCAUCGACUGGGGAGAGAAGAGGAACACUGUGGCCUCCAUCGUGGCUGGUUUUCUGUUUUUUACAGGAUGGUGGGUUAUAAUCGAUGCUGCUGUACACUACCCAAAACCCGAGGAUCUAAAUCACGCUUUUCACACCUGUGGGGUUUUCUCUACAUUGGCUUUUUUCAUGAUUAAUGCUGUGUCAAACGCUCAUAUCCGUGGGGACUCGUAUGAAGAGGGCUGCUUUGGACACAGAGGUGCUCGUGUUUGGCUCUUUAUCGGCUUCCUGAUCAUGUUCGUCUCUCUCAUCGCCUCAGUCUGGAUCUUGUUCGGAGCUUAUGUUGCACCAGGACUUCCUGUGUAUCCUGGACUCUGUGUCUUCUUCCAGAACUUGUUAAUAUUUUUCAGGUCUGGACAUGCUCCUGAUGGUGGAUGGUGUCCAAGGGGAUCGGGGGAUCAGUGAGCUCCUGUACUGUCUGUGGCUACUUGGUGGCUUUGGAUGCUCCAAUACAUAACAUCCCAAAAGGCUCUCAAUCGGAUUCAGGUUUGAAGAAUGUCACUGGGAUCAUGAGGGUCAUCCAAAAACUGCCAACAUCCCAUAUUUGGAACUCUCUGGUCUACAAAUUUGGACGAACUGAAGAAUUAUGGGGCUAAUUUGUUCCACACCAUCCAGCUAAACCCUGAACUCUGUUUGCUCAUAUUGCAGUCCUCCUUUACUACUAGAUUUACUACUGAUUUAGUGUAGUG